AAUACAGUACUUGUUAUGCCUUAUUAAAAACAGGUUUUAUAACAUAAGGAAUUAUAACAAAGAAGCAACACAUAAAAUAUGACAUUCAUAUUUUUUAGUGUGUAUCAAUCGAGUUUCUGACCUAUCAACUUUCGAUGGUAGUCGCCGUGCCUACCAUGGUGACCACGGGUGACGGGGAAUCAGGGUUCGAUUCCGGAGAGGGAGCCUGAGAAACGGCUACCACAUCCAAGGAAGGCAGCAGGCGCGCAAAUUACCCACUCCCGACCCGGGGAGGUAGUGACGAAAAAUAAUAGGACAAGACUAAUUUGUGAGUUUGGGAUCUGUGCUGAUAGAAUUUUAAAACCAUUCUAAAAUUCCAUUGGAGGGCAAGUCUGGUGCCAGCAGCCGCGGUAAUUCCAGCUCCAAUAGCGUAUAUUAAAGUUGCUGCAGUUAAAAAGCUCGUAGUUGGAUUUCAAA
rnacentral:rRNA from 1 species